ensembl:lncRNA unconventional myosin-XVI-like
UAAAGCUGUCUUAAAACAUUUUUCUCAGAAAAUGACAGUCAAAGUGACCACUUUUGACUGCUUUUCUUUUUUAGGGUGGGGAAUGGUUUCUUAGCUUGGGGAUGGAAAGUCUGGCAUGGGAUCAUGAUCGAUAGAUCAAACUCCUGAGAGUCUGAGCAAGUCAGAGAUCCAUCUAUAAAUCCUAUAGGUGCAUAUCUGCACCUCUUCUGGCAGAAGAUAAAGGCUGUUUCCAGCUAUGUAAUGUUUUUCGAUCACAUGACAUGGAAAUUGACCAGUGUUUGCUGGAGUCCCUCCCUCUCGGCCAGCGGCAGCGGCUGGUGAAGCGCAUGCGCUGUGAUCAAAUAAAGGCGUACUAUGAACGAGAGAAGGCUUUGCAGAAACGGGAAGGUUAUGCCCAAAAACUGAAACAUGGAAAGAAUCACCGAGUCCGUUUCAAUCUUGCUGAUAUGAUACAGGAUGCGAUCGUACAUCAUGAUGAUAAAGAAGUGCUACGGCUAUUGAAGGAUGGUGCCGACCCUCAUACAUUCAUUUCCUCAGGAGGCUCCUUGCUCCAUCUGUGUGCCCGCUAUGAUAAUGCAUUUGCUGCAGAAAUUCUAAUUGACAGAGGAGUAAAUGUAAAUCAUCAGGACGAGGAUUUUUGGACCUCAAUGCACGUAGCCUGUGCAUGUGAUAAUCCUGAUAUUGUCCUGCUACUGCUACUAGCUGGAGCAAAUGUGCUGCUGCAAGAUGUUAAUGGAAACAUUGCACUUGAUUAUGCCAUAGAAGGGACUGAAUCCAGCAGCAUCCUUCUGAUGUACUUGGAAGAAAAUGGUGUAGAUCUGAAUUCGUUGCGCCAAAUGAAGAUACAGAGACCUAUGACAAUGCUUACAGAUGUCCGACAACUCAUAUCAAGUGGAGGAAGUGUGAAUCAAAAGAAUGAUGAAGGAGUUACACUGCUUCACAUGGCCUGUGCAAAUGGAUACAGGAAUGUGGCGUCUCUGAUCCUGGAUCAUGGGGCUGAUCUCAAUGCAGUGGAUAAUCAGUACUGGACACCUCUUCAUUUAGCUGCAAAGUAUGGGCAGACAAACCUUGUGAAGCUGCUUUUGAUGCACUGGGCAAAUCCCAAUCUUCUUAACUGCAAUAAUGAAAAGCCUUCAGAUAUUGCAGCUUCUGAGUUUAUUGAGGAAAUGCUUCUAAAGGCUGAAAUUGUCUGGGAGGAAAAAAUGAAAGACCCUUUAUCUGUUUCUACUUUAUCUCAAGAAGAGCCAUAUGAAGAGAUCAUCCAUGAUCUGCCCACACUUUCCAAUAAACUCAAUCCCCUGGCUUUACCGAUUGCCAAGCAAGACAGUUUGCUGGAGAAAGACACCAUGUUUAAAGAUGCAGCUAAAGGUUUGUGUAAGCAGCAAUCUCAAGACAGUGCAUCUGAAAAUGUCGCAGUGAACAGUACAAGCAAACUUGAACAGGUAAUGCAUCUAAUGCCUCCAGCUCCGAAUGAUGACCUGGCUUCUUUGAGUGAGCUAACAGACAGCAGCCUGCUUUAUGAGAUCCAAAAGCGUUUCAAUAAUAAUCAGAUAUAUACCUACAUUGGUGAUAUACUGCUGCUUGUUAACCCAUUUAAAGAACUUCCUAUUUAUUCUACUAUGGUCACUCAACUUUACUUAAGCAACUCUGGAAAACUGUGUUCCUCGCUUCCUCCACAUAUAUUUUCCUGUGCCGAAAGAGCUUACCACAUGCUAUUCCAGGAGCAGCGUCCCCAGUGCUUUAUCCUCAGUGGAGAAAGUGGUUCUGGAAAGACAGAAGCCUGCAAACAGAUAGUGAAGCACCUCACUUGCAGAGCCAGCUCCAGCGGAAAUACCUUUGAUACCAAGAUAAAACAUGUAAACUGUAUCUUGGAGGCCUUUGGACAUGCUAAGACACCCCUGAAUGAUUUGACCAGCUGUUUUAUAAAAUAUUUUGAGCUGCAGUUUUGUGAGAAGAAAAAAACGUUAUCUGGAGCUAGGAUUUAUACGUACAUGUUGGAGAAGUCUCGUGUCAUUAUGCAACCUCUCAACCAGAGCAAUUUUCAUGUGUUUUAUUUGAUGAUGGAUGGGCUGUCUGCUGAAGAAAAGUACGCGUUGUACCUCAGUAAUUUGUCUGCACACAGCGUGAACAGAACCAGCUUUUGCGGUUUUGUGAACUUUUUUUAA